rnacentral:rRNA from 1 species
GAACUUUAUUGAUUUAUGAGGGAUUUGGUUGUAGCUGGUUCAUUAUUUGGGCAUGUGCACACCUUCUCUCUUUCAUCCACACACACCUGUGCACCUGUGAGGCAGAUGGGGAAUUUAUUGAUUGUUCUCUAAGAACAAUUGGUGUUGGACCCUCUGUCUACUCAAUACAUAUAAACUCAAUUUAUUUAGAAAUGAAUGUAAUGGAUGUAACGCAUCUAAUACUAAGUUUCAACAACGGAUCUCUUGGCUCUCGCAUCGAUGAAGAACGCAGCGAAAUGCGAUAAGUAAUGUGAAUUGCAGAAUUCAGUGAAUCAUCGAAUCUUUGAACGCACCUUGCGCUCCUUGGUAUUCCUUGGAGCAUGCCUGUUUGAGUAUCAUGAAAUCUUCAAAGUAAAAUCUUUUGUUAAUUCAAUUGGUUUUGCCUUGGUCUUGGAGGUCUUUGCAGCUUCACACCUGCUCCUCUUUGUGUAUUAGCUGGAUCUCAGUGUUAUGCUUGGUUCCACUCGGCGUGAUAAGUUAUCUAUCGCUGAGGACACUGUAAUAGGUGGCCAAGGGAAAUGCAGAUGAACCGCUCCUAAUAGUCCAUUCACUUGGACACUAUUUUCUUAUGAUCUGAUCUCAAAUCAGGUAGGGACUACCCCGCUGAACUUAAGCAUAUCAUAAAAACGGGAGAGGA